UUAAUGAAGCCUCGCUUCAAAGAAACACAGCUUUGUGAUCAUUCUUUCAACUUUAUUUGUACAACCCUUACUGCUAAGUGGACAAUAUUAAAAAGGAAAUCACAAUUCUUUGCAAGUGCUACUCAAAGGAACUUGGACUUGACAGGCUAUAAUUCAAGAGAAAGGGCUGGUAAUUAGGUUGGGUUGACUCCGCCCCCUGCAGACAUUGUGGUGACAACAGGGAAUGUUUCUCUUUGAACGAGGUUGGGGCCAAUGCCGGUUAAUGGAAAGGGGAUGUUCCUCCGGCCCAGUACUCCUCAGCUCUCAGCUCUCUUCACUUCCAGUUUAACAACUUGUUGUGACCGAGUGGUGACACCGAUGUAUUGGGCCUUUUUGACGUCUGUUUGCGGAGGACUAAUAGUUUCCCCCUGGGGAAUCUUUAAAGUUGGGUUGAAUUUAGAGCGUUUCCCCCAUUUCCCUGGUCCUCCUUUGAAACCACUUAACACACACGGUACACGUGAUGCAUUGCGUUUUUUGGCUAAAGAAAGCAGAGCACAGCAGGGAUUCUCUGUGAGAUAUACAGCUACUUGUGAGCAAAUUCCACCCGUCCCCCUGCAGCUCUGUGCCUGCACCAAACUGGGCAUAAUAUCUGUGCGUAGUGUAGUUUGCAAAUUAGGUAUUAAAGUUUCCUUUCUCCCUGUUAGGAUUUUGUUACUGACAGCAUGGGGUGAGUGAUGUCACCAAUAUUGUAACGGAGCUUGCUAUGAGCACCACAGCUAUCGCCCCGAUCAUCCAGCACUAUGGAGCGAUGUGCAUCAAAGGCAGCUAACAUCCAUAUUCUGGCUGGAUGAGUGUACAAUUUUCUUGUCACUGCUUCGGACUGCGAAACCCUUGGAGAAGCCGGGUGUGCCUACAGAGUCGUGGUGGUAGAUGAGAGAAAUGAAGCUCCUGCGCGUAUUAGGUGCGUAUCUGCCUCUGUGUUGCAGAGGUUGCCAACCACUGCACCGCAGUCAGGGACCGUACAGUCCAGUGGUUAUUCGUACCCUGACCACGUACUUCAGAGUUUACUCAUUCUCCUUUGGCUGCAGGAUUUUGUGUGUGUGUGUGUGAGAGUGAGAGUGAGUGAGCGUUCUUUCAGUUAUAAUUGCUGCAGAUACAUGAGACACACACACACAUACACGCGCACACACACGCAUGCUUGACAGAAUGCAUGUGUGUGUGUGUGCACAUGUACAGUGCGACCAAACCAACACGGCUGCGUGAUGAUUAAUCACUGAACACAGUUUACCCUCCCUUGCUGAAACGGUAUCCGUAGUAAUUACACACGCACACCGACACGCAUCUCGCGUUAGGAAUUAUUUAGAAAGACGGAGAGAAAUAUAAAAAGACAGAGGAAUACAGAGAAAUAAGAGACCGUGGAUUUGAGUUUGAUUGUGAGUGACACCUCAGAACAAAGCAAUUAUUGAUUUCACUCUCUCAACAGCUUUUCUUAUUGCCGGUGCAAGUGUGAUUGUGUUAAGCGUAAUUCAGGGAAAACACCAAAGAACUGAUCCAUCACAUUAAUUACAGUCUAUUUGGAAAGUGCAGUUUAAAAUCCUGUGUUUUCGACGGUUAAGGUUGACGGACUUUGUACAGUUUACAAUUACUACGAAUGAUUUGUAGAUUUUUUUCAAUGAAAUGUAUGUUCUGUUGUAUUUAGUCAGGGCUGUCAUUGAUCUCCUCAUCAUCAAACACUCA
ensembl:lncRNA